ACAAAGUUAACAGUGUGAGGGGGGAAAAAGAUGCAUCUGAAGGAACCUCGUGUGCAUACGAGACAAAUAGUUUAUUGUCCAAGUAAAAAGAUCAUAUUAUAAUUUCAUACAAUAAAAGAUAUAGUCAUGCACAGAAAAAGCGUUAUACUUUACAUCAGAGAGGGUCUUGAAGAAGUGGGCACUAAUUGACUAGAUUAUACUAUUUGAAUGCGGUCCACAUUAUGCAGUCUCUUUCCAAGACCAAUUUCCUUGUCAAAUAAAAACUGGAGUCACAGGUACAAUCUAGUAGCAAAUAUCUUAGAAUUGACCAGUUGAAGUUCUUUAUAGUGGUCCGUAAAACUACUUC
rnacentral:lncRNA from 1 species